rnacentral:rRNA from 1 species
GGAGCCUACGGGACGCAGCAGUGGGGAAUAUUGCACAAUGGGCGAAAGCCUGAACGAGCGAUGCCGCGUGAGUGAAGAAGGCCUUCGGGUCGUAAAGCUCUGUUGCGGGGGAAAAAAGGCAGCAUCAGGAAAUGGGUGCUGACUGAUGGUGCCCCGCCAGAAAGUCACGGCUAACUACGUGCCAGCAGCCGCGGUAAUACGUAGGUGGCGAGCGUUGUCCGGAAUCACUGGGCGUAAAGGGCGCGUAGGCGGUUUAAUAAGUCAGUGGUGAAAACUGAGGGCUCAACCCUCAGCCUGCCACUGAU